CACGUAGGGUGCGAGCGUUGUCCGGAAUUAUUGGGCGUAAAGAGCUCGUAGGCGGUGUGUCGCGUCGGCCGUGAAAACCUGCAGCUUAACUGUGGGCUUGCGGUCGAUACGGGCAUCACUGGAGUUCGGCAGGGGAGACUGGAAUUCCUGGUGUAGCGGUGAAAUGCGCAGAUAUCAGGAGGAACACCGGUGGCGAAGGCGGGUCUCUGGGCCGAUACUGACGCUGGAGGAGC
rnacentral:rRNA from 1 species